rnacentral:misc_RNA from 1 species
GAUGAAGAACGUAGCGAAAUGCGAUAAGUAAUGUGAAUUGUAGAAUUCAGUGAAUCAUCGAAUCUUUGAACGCACAUUGCGCCCCUUGGUAUUCCGAGGGGCAUGCCUGUUCGAGCGUCAUUAUAACCCCUCAAGCUCAGCUUGAUGUUGGGGCCUGCUGCACUGGCAGCCCUUAAAAUCAGUGGCGGCGCCAUCUGGCUCUAAGCGUAGUAAUUCUUCUCGCUAUGGAGUCCUGGUGGAUGCUUGCCAUCAACCCCCAAUUUUUCUAUGGUUGACCUCGGAUCAGGUAGGGAUACCCGCUGAACUUAAGCAUAUCAAUAAGCGGAGGA